rnacentral:rRNA from 1 species
UCAUGGCCCUUACGACCAGGGCUACACACGUGCUACAAUGGCGCAUACAAAGAGAAGCGACCUCGCGAGAGCAAGCGGACCUCAUAAAGUGCGUCGUAGUCCGGAUUGGAGUCUGCAACUCGACUCCAUGAAGUCGGAAUCGCUAGUAAUCGUGGAUCAGAAUGCCACGGUGAAUACGUUCCCGGGCCUUGUACACACCGCCCGUCACACCAUGGGAGUGGGUUGCAAAAGAAGUAGGUAGCUUAACCUUCGGGAGGGCGCUUACCACUUUGUGAUUCAUGACUGGGGUGAAGUCGUAACAAGGUAACCGUAGGGGAACCUGCGGU